AUUGAACGCUGGCGGCAUGCUUUACACAUGCAAGUCGAACGGUAACAGCACUUCGGUGGCUGACGAGUGGCGAACGGGUGAGUAAUACAUCGGAACGUGCCUAGUAGUGGGGGAUAACUACUCGAAAAAGUAGCUAAUACCGCAUGAGAUCUAAGGAUGAAAGCAGGGGACCUUCGGGCCUUGCGCUACUAGAGCGGCUGAUGGCAGAUUAGGUAGUUGGUGGGAUAAAAGCUUACCAAGCCGACGAUCUGUAGCUGGUCUGAGAGGACGACCAGCCACACUGGGACUGAGACACGGCCCAGACUCCUACGGGAGGCAGCAGUGGGGAAUUUUGGACAAUGGGCGCAAGCCUGAUCCAGCAAUGCCGCGUGCAGGAUGAAGGCCUUCGGGUUGUAAACUGCUUUUGUACGGAACGAAAAGCCCUCUUCUAAUACAGGAGGGUCAUGACGGUACCGUAAGAAUAAGCACCGGCUAACUACGUG
rnacentral:rRNA from 1 species